AGUUAAUGAACUUGAUAUAAGUAUAUGUUUUGAAAACAUAAUAUAGAAGUUUAAAUCUUCUAUUAACUU
rnacentral:tRNA from 2 species